rnacentral:rRNA from 1 species
AUGAACGCUAGCUACAGGCUUAACACAUGCAAGUCGAGGGGAAACGAUAUUGGAAGCUUGCUUCCGAUAGGCGUCGACCGGCGCACGGGUGAGUAACGCGUAUCCAACCUGCCCACCACUUGGGGAUAACCUUGCGAAAGUAAGACUAAUACCCAAUGAUAUCUCUAGAAGACAUCUGAAAGAGAUUAAAGAUUUAUCGGUGAUGGAUGGGGAUGCGUCUGAUUAGCUUGUUGGCGGGGUAACGGCCCACCAAGGCAACGAUCAGUAGGGGUUCUGAGAGGAAGGUCCCCCACAUUGGAACUGAGACACGGUCCAAACUCCUACGGGAGGCAGCAGUGAGGAAUAUUGGUCAAUGGACGAGAGUCUGAACCAGCCAAGUAGCGUGCAGGAAGACGGCCCUAUGGGUUGUAAACUGCUUUUAUAAGGGAAUAAAGUGAGAGUCGUGACUCUUUUUGCAUGUACCUUAUGAAUAAGGACCGGCUAAUUCCGUGCCAGCAGCCGCGGUAAUACGGAAGGUCCGGGCGUUAUCCGGAUUUAUUGGGUUUAAAGGGAGCGUAGGCCGGAGAUUAAGCGUGUUGUGAAAUGUAGACGCUCAACGUCUGCACUGCAGCGCGAACUGGUUUCCUUGAGUACGCACAAAGUGGGCGGAAUUCGUGGUGUAGCGGUGAAAUGCUUAGAUAUCACGAAGAACUCCGAUUGCGAAGGCAGCUCACUGGAGCGCAACUGACGCUGAAGCUCGAAAGUGCGGGUAUCGAACAGGAUUAGAUACCCUGGUAGUCCGCACGGUAAACGAUGGAUGCCCGCUGUUGGUCUGAAUAGGUCAGCGGCCAAGCGAAAGCAUUAAGCAUCCCACCUGGGGAGUACGCCGGCAACGGUGAAACUCAAAGGAAUUGACGGGGGCCCGCACAAGCGGUGGAGUAUGUGGUUUAAUUCGAAGCAACGCGAAGAACCUUACCAGGUCUUGACAUUGAUCGCGAUCUGCAGAAAUGCGGAGUUCUUCUUCGGAAGACGAGAAAACAGGUGGUGCACGGCUGUCGUCAGCUCGUGUCGUGAGAUGUUGGGUUAAGUCCCGCAACGAGCGCAACCCCUCUCCUUAGUUGCCAUCAGGUUAAGCUGGGCACUCUGGGGACACUGCCACCGUAAGGUGUGAGGAAGGUGGGGAUGACGUCAAAUCAGCACGGCCCUUACGUCCGGGGCUACACACGUGUUACAAUGGCAGGUACAGAGAGACGGUCCCUUGCAAAAUGGAUCAAAUCCUUAAAGCCUGUCUCAGUUCGGACUGGGGUCUGCAACCCGACCCCACGAAGCUGGAUUCGCUAGUAAUCGCGCAUCAGCCAUGGCGCGGUGAAUACGUUCCCGGGCCUUGUACACACCGCCCGUCAAGCCAUGAAAGCCGGGGGCGCCUAAAGUCCGUGACCGUAAGGAGCGGCCUAGGGCGAAACUGGUAAUUGGGGCU